rnacentral:rRNA from 1 species
UAGUCCACGCCGUAAACGAUGUCAACUAGCUGUCUGUUUCCUUGAGAAGUGGGUAGCGUAGCUAACGCACUAAGUUGACCGCCUGGGGAGUACGGCCGCAAGGUUAAAACUCAAAUGAAUUGACGGGGGCCCGCACAAGCGGUGGAGCAUGUGGUUUAAUUCGAUGCAACGCGAAGAACCUUACCAUCCCUUGACAUCCACAGAAGCUGAAAGAGAUUUUAGUGUGCCUUCGGGAGCUGUGAGACAGGUGCUGCAUGGCUGUCGUCAGCUCGUGUUGUGAAAUGUUGGGUUAAGUCCCGCAACGAGCGCAACCCCUAUCCUUAUUUGCCAUCAUUAAGUUGGGCACUUUAAAGAGACUGCCGGUGACAAACCGGAGGAAGGUAAGGAUGACGUCAAGUCAGCAUGCCCCUUAUGCUCUGGGCUACACACGUGCUACAAUGGCCGUGACAAAGAGUUGCUACUUUGUGAAAACAAGCUAAUCUCAUAAACGCGGCCUC